rnacentral:rRNA from 1 species
GACGAACGCUGGCGGCGUGCCUAAUACAUGCAAGUCGAGCGAAUCUUGAGGUGCUUGCACCUCUUGGUUAGCGGCGGACGGGUGAGUAACACGUGGGCAACCUGCCUGUAAGACUGGGAUAACUUCGGGAAACCGGAGCUAAUACCGGAUAAUCCUUUUCCUCUCAUGAGGGAAAGUUGAAAGUCGGUUUACGCUGACACUUACAGAUGGGCCCGCGGCGCAUUAGCUAGUUGGUGAGGUAACGGCUCACCAAGGCGACGAUGCGUAGCCGACCUGAGAGGGUGAUCGGCGACACUGGGACUGAGACACGGCCCAGACUCCUACGGGAGGCAGCAGUAGGGAAUCUUCCGCAAUGGACGAAAGUCUGACGGAGCAACGCCGCGUGAGCGAUGAAGGCCUUCGGGUCGUAAAGCUCUGUUGUUAGGGAAGAACAAGUAUCGGAGUAACUGCCGGUACCUUGACGGUACCUAACCAGAAAGCCACGGCUAACUACGUGCCAGCCGCCGCAGUAAAAC